GAUGAACGCUGGCGGCGUGCCUAAUACAUGCAAGUCGAGCGAACGGACGAGAAGCUUGCUUUUCUGAUGUUAGCGGCGGACGGGUGAGUAACACGUGGAUAACCUACCUAUAAGACUGGGAUAACUUCGGGAAACCGGAGCUAAUACCGGAUAAUAUUUUGAACCGCAUGGUUCAAAAGUGAAAGACGGUCUUGCUGUCACUUAUCGAUGGAUCCGCGCUGCAUUAGCUAGUUGGUAAGGUAACGGCUUACCAAGGCAACGAUGCAUAGCCGACCUGAGAGGGUGAUAGGCCACACUGGAACUGAGACGCGGUCCAGGCUCCUACGGGAGGCAGCAGUAGGGAAUCUUCCGCAAUGGGCGAAAGCCUGACGGAGCAACGCCGCGUGAGUGAUGAAGGUCUUCGGAUCGUAAAACUCUGUUAUUAGGGAAGAACAUAUGUGUAAGUAACUGUGCACAUCUUGACGGUACCUAAUCAGAAAGCCACGGCUAACUACGUG
rnacentral:rRNA from 1 species